CUCUCUCAUCUUCACCUCCUCCUCCACCAGCCUCUGCCUAUGGGCCGUCUCGUCCUGGAGCCUCCUCUCGGCCUCCUCUCGCCUCCUCCGCUCCUCCUCCAGCAUCUGCCGCCGAGCCUGCACCUCCCUCUCCUGGGAGCGUCGGGAGAGGAGACGGAGGAACAGAUGGAGAGAGAAGGGAAGGAAGAGAUAACAGGGAGAGUAUGUUAAUGGACAGACAUCUACUAAAUAAGCAAUGCAAGUCAGUGGAAAGAUAUCAGACAAUGGACAUCGAGACCUUUUUCACAUUCGUGAAGGACUGGCUGAGUUUGACCUGCAGCUGAGAGAUGAUUUCGUUUUCGGCCUCCACCUGCUCCUGCUCCGCCCGCCUCUCUGCCUGCAGCAGCGCUUGCUCCAUCUCCGCCUGCACACAAAUAUGGAGUCAGAGUCUGCAACCCACCAAGUCCUGUCAGACUGAAUGAAUACUUAUGAAAGGGGAUACAACUUCCUAUCCUCUCAUUAUGAUGCUGCUGCUCCAGUUCACUGACUCUGUGCGUCAAGUCAUCAACCCUGGCCAAGACCUGGUUCCUCUCCUCCUCCAGGGGUCCGUCCACACCCUGGAGGGAUGUCCCCCCUCCUGUGCCUGGGCAGCUUCCUGCAGGGCCCCCCAGCAGCCCACUCCUCACCACUUCAGCCAGCUCCACAGCGCUGCCCUCCUGAUUAUACUCCGCACACAGAUGGAGGAUGGUCUCCAACCUCUGUCGCUCCUACAGAAGACACGUGAGAAACGUAAGCGCGCUGUCGUACAUCAUAGAUCAUAUUGCAGAUUAGCCUAAGAUGUCCUUGGGUGACAUUGGCCCAUUUAGGCAGCUGUCCCUCAGCCACUGGCACGGGACAACUGUAACCCGAUAGCAAGGGGGCCCUAGCUGAUGUAGUUUGUCUCUCGGGAGGGGAGUUCAUAGUAAAGUCAGAGCCCAAGUUGUUUAUGAAAACAGAAUCUGACCGACUGUUAAAAAUCAUCAAAGAGAAGUUGUGGAGUUUUGGUUGCUGACAGUAUCUCAGAUUACACCAAACCAUUCCAAUCAGAGACACUUUGAAUGUUCAUGUUUAUUGGAUGUUUGCUUACUGUGCCAUCCCGUUGUUUCUCAUCAUUCUGAACAAUGGGAUGCUUUCUUUAAUCUGACAAUAAUUAGGAAUCUGGCACGACUAGAAACAAUUGUGCCUGAUGUGCUUGAUGUCGUUUCAACAACCAUCCGCCUGCUUCUGUCUGGUAUUUAAAUUACUCGUGCUGUUAAAAUAAUCACACCGACUGCGUAU